GGGUAUAGCUCAGUGUAGAGCACACGCUUAGCAUGCACAAGGUCCUGGGUUCAAUCCCCAGUACCUCCA
rnacentral:tRNA from 1 species